GACAGUGUUGCGUAGUGGUUUGAGUGUUGGACUGUGACUCUGAAGACCAGAGGGUUCGAUUCCCAGCUCGGCCG